rnacentral:rRNA from 1 species
AUGAACGCUGGCGGCGUGCCUAAUACAUGCAAGUCGCGCGAACAGACGAGGAGCUUGCUCCUCUGACGUUAGCGGCGGACGGGUGAGUAACACGUGGAUAACCUACCUAUAAGACUGGGAUAACUUCGGGAAACCGGAGCUAAUACCGGAUAAUAUAUUGAACCGCAUGGUUCAAUAGUGAAAGACGGUUUUGCUGUCACUUAUAGAUGGAUCCGCGCCGCAUUAGCUAGUUGGUAAGGUAACGGCUUACCAAGGCAACGAUGCGUAGCCGACCUGAGAGGGAGAUCGGACAGCGGGAAACUGAGGCAGGGCAGAGACCCAGGGGGGAGGAAGCAGUAGGGAAUUUGACGCAAUGGGCGAAAGGUGGACGGAGCAAAGGGGCGGAAGGGAUGAAGGUUCUCGGCACGUAAAGCGAUGAUAGUAGGGAAGAACAAAAGUGUAAGUAACUAGGAAGGUCUUGAAGGGACCGAAAGAGAAAGCCACGGCUAACUACGUG